AGAAGUCUUCGGAAAAAUUUUUAUCUACAAUUUUAAGAAGUAUUUAGAGGGCCUGCUGCUGUUCAGUUUGAAAAUUAAAAGUCUGCACGGUACUGUGAAAUCACAAGAAGUGAGUUUGUGGCUGAUCCGAAUGUCUGUGGUCCUCUACGCACCCCAGAGACGUAUGACGCAGCUGUUGCGGAUCUCCAGGCUGAAAACAUCCAAGGAAUCAGGGGGAUAAAGGUGUUUUUUCUCGAUAAACCCAGAAAAAGGAACCAAAGUAGAGAAUAAAAACUCAAAGCGUCGUCUCAGUGUGAACCCUCGAGUCCUCACCCUGAUACAGGAACUCUCCGAUCACGAGUGGUGUUAAGCCUAAAUAUGGACUCUUUCUGUGGACUCUGACUUUAAGAAGAGGUACUGUUAGUUUGCACUCUAAAUCCACAAUGUGUUCUAUGUUUAUUAAGGCACAUCAUUCUUAUUUUUUUUUCUUCAAGUCCUAAAGAUGCAGUAACUUUUCUCUGUUUGUUUGAAGUACUGUUAUUUUUCACUUUGUUAAAUCCACAGUGUGGAUUAUGGUUAAAAGGGCACUUUACAAUUAUUAUAAAUUUUUUUUUUUUAGUCUUGAAGGUGCACUAACUUUUUCUGGUAGCGAGUCCGCCACCUGCUUGUUUCAUGAAGAUGCUCUUUCUUUGCAGGAAUGUUUCACAAUGUGGUAUAAAACUUAUCUACCUUGCAUUUAUUCAAUUAGGACUGUUUUUAUUGAAAAAAAUACUUCUAAAAAAUGUGAGGAGCGUCGCCUGUACAUCUGACCUGUAACUAUGCCUUUUGGUAUCGCCUGAUCGUCUCCAUGGAGAUAAGUUUCAUGCCAUACUGUGGAACAUUCCAGACAGGGAAAGUGUGGAUUGUUGUUAUGUGCCUGGCACAUAAACUUUGUUUCAAACUUUAAAAACUUAGUUUGAAUACAAAUUCAUCAAGUUGUUUACAACUAUUG